rnacentral:lncRNA from 1 species
GAGUGGCGUGGAGCUUGCAGGCAGUGGUCUGUAGUCUGCAUGCACCCUCAGCACCUGCUGGGCCCUGCCUGCAGAGGCUCUGGUGGCUGAGGGUGGGUGCCUUCCAGACACGUUCUGCUUUCACUGCAUAAAUUCACAGAGAAACGUCAACACAUAAUAACAGAAAAUGGUAUUGGAACAGUGGGAAUCAGCAAUUUGCACAGGAGUCUUUGGGAGCUGUUGUUUACUGUAGUUGGCCUGAAGUUGGGACAAAAUUGGGGCAAACAAGAUGAGUUUGGUGCUUUGGAAAGUAUGAAAGCUACUAAUGAACUGUUUUCUCCUUUAUCAGAAGUAACUGAAAUUAAUGAAUCCCUUGAAGAAAAUCCAGAGUUGUCAACAAUCUUGUUAUGAAGACGAUUGACUGAUCACGAUGACACUCAGUAACCCUUCAGAACUAGAU